GUAYACACCGCCCGUCACUACUACCGAUUGAAUGACUUAAUGAGGGUCGGGGAGUGAGCGCCUUUUGCGAGGGGCUUGCGAACCGACACGAAUUUGGCCAUUUAGAGGAAGUACAAGUCGUAACAAGGUUUCCGUAGGUGAAMCUGCAGAAGGAUCA
rnacentral:rRNA from 1 species